rnacentral:rRNA from 1 species
GUCUUAUUUCUAGAGAUAGAAAGUUACUUCGGUACAUUCGGUGACAGGUGGUGCAUGGUUGUCGUCAGCUCGUGUCGUGAGAUGUUGGGUUAAGUCCCGCAACGAGCGCAACCCCUAUUGUUAGUUGCCAUCAUUCAGUUGGGCACUCUAGCGAGACUGCCGGUAAUAAACCGGAGGAAGGUGGGAUGACGUCAAAUCAUCAUGCCCCUUAUGACCUGGGCUACACACGUGCUACAAUGGUUGGUACAACGAGUUGCGAGUCGGUGACGGCGAGCUAAUCUCUUAAAGCCAAUCUCAGUUCGGAUUGUAGGCUGCAACUCGCCUACAUGAAGUCGGAAUCGCUAGUAAUCGCGGAUCAGCACGCCGCGGUGAAUACGUUCCCGGGCCUU